rnacentral:rRNA from 1 species
GAUGAACGCUGGCGGCGUGCUUAACACAUGCAAGUCGAACGGAAAGGCCUCUGCUUGCAGGGGUACUCGAGUGGCGAACGGGUGAGUAACACGUGGGUGAUCUGCCCUGCACUUCGGGAUAAGCCUGGGAAACUGGGUCUAAUACCGGAUAGGACAAUGGUUUGGAUGCUGUUGUGGAAAGUUUUUCGGUGUGGGAUGAGCUCGCGGCCUAUCAGCUUGUUGGUGGGGUAAUGGCCUACCAAGGCGUCGACGGGUAGCCGGCCUGAGAGGGUGUACGGCCACAUUAGGACUGAGAGACGGCCCAGACUCCUACGGGAGGCAGCAGUGGGGAAUAUUGCACAAUGGGCGCAAGCCUGAUGCAGCGACGCCGCGUGGGGGAUGACGGCCUUCGGGUUGUAAACUCCUUUCGCUAGGGACGAAGCGUUUUUGUGACGGUACCUGGAGAAGAAGCACCGGCUAACUACGUG